rnacentral:rRNA from 1 species
CGCGAACGCUGGCGGCAGGCUUAACACAUGCAAGUCGAGCGGGCCCUUCGGGGUCAGCGGCAGACGGGUGAGUAACACGUGGGAACGUACCCUUCGGUUCGGAAUAACUCAGGGAAACUUGAGCUAAUACCGGAUACGCCCUUUGGGGGAAGGUUUACUGCCGAAGGAUCGGCCCGCGUCUGAUUAGCUAGUUGGUGAGGUAAUGGCUCACCAAGGCGACGAUCAGUAGCUGGUCUGAGAGGAUGAUCAGCCACACUGGGACUGAGACACGGCCCAGACUCCUACGGGAGGCAGCAGUGGGGAAUAUUGGACAAUGGGCGCAAGCCUGAUCCAGCCAUGCCGCGUGAGUGAUGAAGGCCCUAGGGUUGUAAGCUCUUUCGGCGGGACGAUAAUGACGGUACCGCAGAAGAAGCCCCGGCUAACUUCGUGCCAGCAGCCGCUGUAAU